CCUACGGGCGGCUGCAGUAGGGAAUCUUCGGCAAUGGGCGAAAGCCUGACCGAGCAACGCCGCGUGAAUGAUGAAGGCCUUCGGGUUGUAAAAUUCUGUUAUAAGGGAAGAAUGGCUCUAGUAGGAAAUGGCUAGAGUGUGCCGGUACCUUAUGAGAAAGCCACGGCUAACUACGUGCCAGCAGCCGCGGUAAUACGUAGGUGGCAAGCGUUGUCCGGAAUUAUUGGGCGUAAAGAGCGCGCAGGUGGUUGAUUAAGUCUGAUGUGAAAGCCCACGGCUUAACCGUGGAGGGUCAUUGGAAACUGGUCAACUUGAGUGCAGAAGAGGGAAGUGGAAUUCCAUGUGUAGCGGUGAAAUGCGUAGAGAUAUGGAGGAACACCAGUGGCGAAGGCGGCUUCCUGGUCUGUAACUGACACUGAGGCGCGAAAGCGUGGGGAGCAAACAGGAUUAGAUACCCUUGUAGUC
rnacentral:rRNA from 1 species